rnacentral:rRNA from 1 species
CACACACCGCCCGUCACACCACGAAAGCUGGUUCUGCCCGAAGUGGCUAGGCUAACCCGAAAGGGAAGCAGGCUCCGAAGGCAGGGCUAGUAAUUGGGGUG